CGCCUCCUGACUUUAACUAUAGGAGGUCCAGCCUGCCCAAUGAAUAUUGAAUGGCCGCGGUACUCUUACCGUGCGAAGGUAGCAUAAUCACUUGUCCGUUAAAUGUGGACUUGUAUGAACGGCACCACGAGGGUUACACUGUCUCCCUACCCUAAUCAAUGAAACUAUUCUUCCCGUGAAGAAACGGGAAUUUUUAUAUAAGACGAGAAGACCCCAUGGAGCUUUAAACCCAGAACAUCUACUAACUCCUUUCUCCAACCAAAUACAUAGUAUUAAUGUCCCUGGUUUUCGGUUGGGGCGACCACGGAGUAAACAAUAACCUCCAUGAUGAACAAACUAUACUUUUACUUAAGAGCCACAUCUCUAAAGAUCAUUAAUAUGACAUUUCUUGACCCAAGUUUACUUGAUCAACGAACCUAGUUACCCUGGGGAUAACAGCGCAAUCCAUUUCAAGAGCCCGUAUCGACAAAUGGGUUUACGACCUCCAUGUUGGAUCAGGGUAUCCCAGUGGUGCAACCGCUACUAAAGGUUUGUUUGUUCAACAAUUAAUAACCCUACGUGAUCUGAGUUCAGACCG
rnacentral:rRNA from 1 species